rnacentral:rRNA from 1 species
UGGGAGUGGUCAAUGCUUGAAGUCCGUGGGCUGACCUGUUCGCAAGGAUGGGAGGCAGCGGCCGAGGGCAGGGGCCGCGACUGGGACG